rnacentral:rRNA from 1 species
AGAUUGCAGGCUGCAACUCGCCUGCAUGAAGUUGGAAUUGCUAGUAAUCGCGAAUCAGAAUGUCGCGGUGAAUACGUUCCCGGGCCUUGUACACACCGCCCGUCAAGCCAUGGGAGCCGGGGGGUGCCUGAAGUACGUGACCGCGAGGAGCGUCCUAGGGCAAAACUGGUGACUGGGGCUAAGUCGUAACAAGGUAUC